GACAGAGGCCUCAAGCGUUAGGCGGAAUCACUGGGCUUAAAGCGUGUGUAGGCGGAUCGUUAAGUGCCUUGUGAAAUCCCACGGCUUAACUGUGGAACGGCUGGGCAUACUGGCGGUCUUGAGCCAUCUAGGGGCGACUGGAAUUCCUGGUGUAGCGGUGAAAUGCGCAGAUAUCAGGAGGAACACCGGUGGCGAAGGCGGGUCUCUGGGCCGAUACUGACGCUGAGGAGCGAAAGCGUGGGGAGCGAACAGG
rnacentral:rRNA from 1 species